rnacentral:tRNA from 1 species
GAGAUGUUAGUAAAAUAUUACAUAGCCUUGUCAAGGCUAAAUUACAAGUGAAAUCCCUGUACAUCUCA